CACCAAAUGCCUCCUCCGCAUUCCCUCCGUAUUCCCUGAGCUGGUGGGCAAUAGUCCCCCAAGUCCCCCCCUGUGGUGGACGCACACACAUACACACACACGCACAUACAUACACAUACGCACAUACAUACACACACGCACAUACAUACACAUACGCACAUACAUACACAUACGCACAUACAUACACAUACGCACAUACAUACACAUACGCACAUACAUACACAUACGCACAUACAUACACACACGCACAUACAUACACAUACGCACAUACAUACACAUACGCACAUACAUACACAUACGCACAUACA
rnacentral:lncRNA from 1 species